AUUGAACGCUGGCGGCAUGCUUUACACAUGCAAGUCGAACGGCAGCGCGGGCUUCGGCCUGGCGGCGAGUGGCGAACGGGUGAGUAAUACAUCGGAACGUGCCCAGUAGUGGGGGAUAGCUCGGCGAAAGCCGGAUUAAUACCGCAUACGACCUGAGGGUGAAAGCGGGGGAUCUUCGGACCUCGCGCUAUUGGAGCGGCCGAUGGCAGAUUAGCUAGUUGGUGGGGUAAAGGCCUACCAAGGCGACGAUCUGUAGCUGGUCUGAGAGGGCGACCAGCCACACUGGGACUGAGACACGGCCCAGACUCCUACGGGAGGCAGCAGUGGGGAAUUUUGGACAAAGGGCGAAAGCCUGAUCCAGCAAUGCCGCGUGUGUGAUGAAGGCCUUCGGGUUGUAAAGCACUUUUGGCGGGAACGAAAAGGACUGUGCCAAUACCACGGUUCGAUGACGGUACCCGCAGAAUAAGCACCGGCUAACUACGUG
rnacentral:rRNA from 1 species